rnacentral:rRNA from 1 species
GAUGAACGCUAGCGGCAGGCCUAAUACAUGCAAGUCGAGGGGUAGAAGAGGCUUGCUUCUUUGAGACCGGCGCACGGGUGCGUAGCGCGUAUGCAACCUACCUUCAUCUGGGGGAUAGCCCGGAGAAACCCGGAUUAAUACCGCAUAAAAUCACAGGAUGGCAUUAUCCAAUGAUCAAACAUUUAUGGGAUGGAGAUGGGCAUGCGUGUCAUUAGCUAGUUGGCAGGGUAACGGCCCACCAAGGCGACGAUGACUAGGGGAUCUGAGAGGAUGGCCCCCCACACUGGUACUGAGACACGGACCAGACUCCUACGGGAGGCAGCAGUAAGGAAUAUUGGUCAAUGGAGGCAACUCUGAACCAGCCAUGCCGCGUGCAGGAAGACUGCCCUAUGGGUUGUAAACUGCUUUUAUUCGGGAAUAAACCUUAUUACGUGUAAUAAGCUGAAUGUACCGAAGGAAUAAGGAUCGGCUAACUCCGUGCCAGCCGCCGCCGUAA